ACGAACUGCGCGAACGUUAUUCGGAAUCAUUGGGCUUAAAGAGUUCGUAGGCGGCCUAAUAAGUCGGGUGUGAAAUCCCUCGGCUCAACCGAGGAACUGCGCCCGAUACUGUUAGGCUUGAGGGAGGCAGAGGUGAGCGGAACUGAUGGUGGAGCGGUGAAAUGCGUUGAUAUCAUCAGGAACACCGGUGGCGAAAGCGGCUCACUGGGCCUCUUCUGACGCUGAGGAACGAAAGCUAGGGGAGCAAACGGG
rnacentral:rRNA from 1 species